rnacentral:lncRNA from 1 species
GAAGAGGUGCAAACACGGGGAGGGACAGUCUGGUCAGAGGCUCAGGGAGUGGGGCUGGCAGGCUUUGGUCUCUGCUGGUCUCCCAGCCUGCGGCUGAUGCACGUCUGUUGAAUUUUGCAACAGUCCCCAUCCCUCAAGGAGGUGAACAAGCUGUUGUUGCUGUUUAUCAAGGGAGAGCAGAUACAUCAGUGUCUUCUGACAGAAAAAGUGAUCGCCAUCAGGAUGGUGAUGACCACGAUGAUCCCUAGGAUGACGAGCAGGAUGCGGUUCUGGAUGAUUCUAGGAGACAGCAAAGGAGAAAAAACACACACAGAUAAGUGGAAGGCCUUCCCACAAACGCCGUCCGAGGCCAGGUUGGCUAAUCAAACGGCAGCUUUGCAGGUGGGGGUGGGGAGCGUGUGUGUGUGUGUGUGUGUGUGUGUGUGUGUGCGCGCGCGAAAGAGACAUCACGCAGCUUUCUGGUUCUACAAACGAUCCACGAGGAAACGAAAGGCUCCACAUGAUUGUCACGCUGCCCUCCGAGAAAUGCUUACUGCAAAGCUAAGGCGAAUCAAAUGGCUUUCGAGGCUCAGAAAAUCAUGUAGCCUCUUUAAGUGAUCAAGGGCCCCUUGCGAGCUUCUCUUUCUAAUUUAAAAGGCGAGACAAGCCUCAUUUUUUGCAGUGUUUCCUGUUAAAGUAAAAUACUCCAAGGAAACACAUGUCAGCAAUGUACUUACCUGCACAAAAAUACCUGGGGAAAAGUAAAACAGAGACUAAGGAAGAAAAGGAUGGGAUUAAGAAACAAGUGUCAAAUGUGCAGCUUAGGCUGUGAAACCAUCAUCUGUCAGUGUGGCUCACGCUCCGUUACGCUAGGAGGAAACGUUACAUUUGCUCCAUAGCAAAAAAGAUGGAAAUGAGAAAUAUACAAUGUACUCAA